AACAACUCACCUGCCGAAUGAAUCAGCCCUGAAAAUGGAUGGCGCUUAAGCGGGCGACCGACACCAUGCCGUCUGUACAAGAUUAAUGUUUUUACAGAUGAGUAGGAGGACGUGGCGGUUGUGUCGAAGCAUGCGUGCAAACGCGUGUGGAACAGCCGCUAGUGCAGAUCUUGGUGGUAGUAGCAAAUAUUCAAGCGAGAUCCUUGAAGGGCGAAGCGGGGAAGGGUUCCACGCGAACAUUGAUUGGGCGUGGGUGAGUCGUUCCUAAGCCGAGUGGCAAUUGCUAAGUAGCGGCGAAAGGGAAGCAGGUUGACAUUCCUGCACACGGAUGUGGAGGCGGUGACGCUUUAAUGAGGGCGAAGACGCUGGCGAUGGCGCUGGGCAGAGAUUUCUUUUCUGUUUGACCGCUGAAGCGCGCGGUGUGGAAUCCGCUUGUCGGGAGAAACACGCGCGUUCGGGCAGAGCGCCGGGGCUAUUCCGGCGUCCAGCUCGCCAUCGACGGCCCUUGAAAAUUUGCCUGCUGGAAUAGUUUUUUAAUAUUCUAUGAAGAUCCACGCCGUGGCGUACCGAUAACCGCAUCAGGUCCCCAAGGUGAACAGCCUCUGCUCUAUAUGAAUAAU
rnacentral:rRNA from 1 species